AGACUGGGGAAGCCAGCGGCAAGAACCAGAACAUCCCAGCCAGGAACAGCUCCUCAGCAGUGGAAUCCUGGCUCUGCGGUGGGGAGUUGAGACCGCAGCACAGACUCCUUACCUUUCAUUUACUAAUGAGAAGAAGGCUGCUGGCCAGUGUUUGGAGAAGAGAUGGCAGAAGAUUCCAGAGAGGGGCCAGCCUUGGGGGGAUACUAGAGUGGUCUAGAGCUGCUGGCCUCCUAAUGUGUAAAGACUUGAGAUAUCUUGCUUCUAGUCCUAGCCUUUCCCCCACCCCCCCAUCAUCCAGGUCCUACCUAAAACAUUCUUUCCGUUUCAGUUUUCCCUCCCUUGGCAAUGGGUACAUUCUACUGGGUGAGGCUUAGGAAGCUGAUGAGUCCAGCUCCAGGAAGCACUUUCUCGCCUCUAGGGAAGUCUCUGAUCUCUGGUGCUUCUGCCUUCAUGUCCAUGGCUGGUCGGCUGGUCGGGAAGGUACCACUAGGUUGGCCUGGCUUAUACUCUAUGCCUCCUAGGCUCGUCCAGGCCUAGUACUAACUAGCCUGGGGAGGGGACAGCUCCCUGGGCUGAAAUAGCAGGUUUCUUUUCUGUCUUUUGGAAAUGACCAGAGUGUAUUACCAGCCCAUCCAAGCCCUUGCUAGCCCCUCCCUCCUGUCUCCAGUUCUGGCUUUCUCUGCAGCCAGACCUGGGGACCUUCUGGAUCUGAGCAGAUAGAGUUGCUGUACUUCUUGGCUGGGUGACCUUGGUGUUGAAUCAUUGAGGGUUGGAAGCCCUGAAGGUUGGAUCACAGGCGAUUCCGUCAAAGAAUGUUGUAAUCAGAAGCUUUGAUUAGUAAAUUUAAAUUUUUUUAAAGUUUAAUUUUAUGCAUACACGUGUUUUGCCUGCAUGUGUGUCUUUGAACCAUGAGAUGCAGUGGAGGACAGAUUAUUGUGAACCACCAUGGGGGUGCUGGGAAUCGAACCUCGUUCUCUAGAAGGGCAGCCUUAAAUUAAUCUCUGAGCCAGCUCUCUAGCUCCAUCACAAUUUUUAUUGACUGCGUGCGUGUGCACACAUGUGUGUAAACAUCACAACUCUCGUAGGGCAGUCGGAGGACAAUGGAUGGGAGUCAGUUCUCUCUCUCCUUCCACCACGUUGGGGUUCAAACUCAGGUUCUCAUGCAUGAUGGCAGAACCUUCACGCACUGAGCUGUUUUGCCAGCCCCCUUUUUUAUUUUUUUUGAGCCAGUCCCACAAAGUUGUCCAACUAGUCUUGAACUUGUGGUGCUCUUGUCUCUCCAGUAGUAGAUAUUAUAGUUAUAUAUGGCCAAGAACCACUCAAAGGACCAUGGACUUUAGAACUGCACAAAAGUACCUCAGAGGUCACUAGCCAACCCCUCCCUGGGCCCUUCCCUAAACUAUGAGCCUGUUUAUCUAUCUCAGCCUCUGGGGCUCACGGUAUCAGAUCUGUGAUUACCUGCAUCCCCAAAGAACAGCCAUUUGGCUUGGGGUGUGGGGCAGGGGGGGUUUUCUCAUCAGCACACAAACUGAAAGACCUUGGAUAAGAAAGCUCACCCCUCAGCCACAAACAACAUAACUUAAUAGGAUUACAGGAAUUAGCGUGUAAAAUUCUCAGAAAAGUGCCUGGCAUUGUCUGCUGUUAUUUUUCAAAUGUCUUCCUGACGGAGAGAAGAGCUUUGACUACCCCUGCCUUAGUUGCCCUUGACAUUUGUAUGGCUGCCUUAGGCCAGAAUUUACUGAUGUGUCCCUUGGGUCAUUCUUCCCUAAGGUCGGUAUCUUUGCCUCCUUUUGGCAGAUGUGCACACCCCACUGACUGUGCAGUAGAGGCCAGGUCAGAAGGCAGACCGACGUCCUAGGAAGCAUUAUUGCUGUCUUUCUGCUGUGUACACUGUUGCCUAGAAACUCCUUCAAGGCUGGCCCUUGCUCCUGCCUUCCUGAUGGCCACUGAGGAACUGACCAGUCUUCACACAGAUUUGCCGGCAAUCCCUAUGACACUCUGGGUGGCAUCUGCUAAUGUGACUUGGGCGGAUGUGGUCAGGGCAGCUGGUAGGCAGGCCGGGGUGGAGGUCGUUGGCUUCAUUCUACUAGUUGAGCCGCUGCCACACAGCUUGACUGUGGCUAUACUCGAAAGCCUCCAAUUGGUUUCUGCCCACAGCAGCCAGGCAAGGUGUGUUUUCCUGGGGCUUUGGUGACUUCCUUGCCCACCCCUACUUCCACAGUUCAAAAGGCUUCAAGGAACCCUGGGGUGGAGCUGAAGCAGGACUCCCUCCUGCUGCUGCUAGCCCUGGGAGAAUAUGUGCUCUUGGUCCCAGCUGGGAGCAAAGCAGGCCAGUUGACGAAACUGGAGAGCAGGCUCAAGUGGCUAGGACAGUCUGCCAUCUUGAUGUCUACUCCCUCUAGACAGCUGGUCCAGUCUCCUGCUCACAGGACAAUUCUGAGGACUUGGGGAGGGGGAGACUACUGGCAGCAGGCCCUGAAGCAUGCCAGGGUGGGUGCCUUCCCUUGGCUGCCCUACGGGUAGUAGAGGUCACAGAAGGUGUCCCAGGGUAACAGAGCUCCUCUGCUUCACUUGACUUCUGCUAACAGAUGAGCGGCCUGCCCUGUGGUUACUGCAAAAUGAACUCUCAUCAGUGUCCCAGAAAUGGAAGUGUGGCUUUGAGGUCUGGGAAGCCCCACUGCUCUGGUGUGGUCCUGGGGUUCCUCAUGUAAGACAGAGACAAUACUUCCCAGGGUACCCAUGCUAAGACAGGUGCAGGCUCCAGGGACACCCUUUGUUCCCCAGCUCCCCAAGAGUGCAAUACUGGGUGGGCUUCAGUCUCCCAGGUUUCUACCUGGGCCGUGCCUGGCUCAGGAGAUGUGCAUAGAGAUUGAUGAGGGCAAAGCCAGAGGAGAGGUGGCUCCCUGGGUACCAACCCUGUGGCCUUUUCAAACUAGGAAUCUAGAAAGGGAGAGCAAGCCACUGACUUUGGAACCAGCACACACAAUUCAUGGGACUCUCCCAGUUCAUGGUCCCACAGCCCCAGGGCAAACCUCGCCUAUCCAGUGGCCUAACAAAUUCUACUGGAGACACAUUUCCGAGGCCCCAGGUGGGAACUUGAGGCCGUUUUGAGAGAGGGCGGGUGCUAGGACAGGUGCUGUGUUGGGGAGAGAGGGCGGGUGCUAGGACAGGUGCUGUGAUGGGGAGAGAGGGUGCGUGCUAGGACAGGUGCUGUGAUGGGGAGAGGGCGAGUGCUAGGACAGGUGCUGUGAUGGGGAGAGAGGGCGGGUGCUAGGACAGGUGCUGUGAUGGGGAGAGAGGGUGGGUGCUAGGACAGGUGCUGUGAUGGGGAGAGGGCGAGUGCUAGGACAGGUGCUGUGUUGGGGAGAGAGGGCGGGUGCUAGGACAGGUGCUGUGAUGGGGAGAGAGGGUGCGUGCUAGGACAGGUGCUGUGAUGGGGAGAGGGCGAGUGCUAGGACAGGUGCUGUGAUGGGGAGAGAGGGUGGGUGCUAGGACAGGUGCUGUGAUGGGGAGAGAGGGUGGGUGCUAGGACAGGUGCUGUGAUGGGGAGAGAGGGUGGGUGCUAGGACAGGUGCUGUGAUGGGGAGAGGGCGAGUGCUAGGACAGGUGCUGUGAUGGGGAGAGAGGGUGGGUGCUAGGACAGGUGCUGUGUGGGGAGAGGGCGAGUGCUAGGACAGGUGCUGUGUGGGGAGCCUCUCGUCUUUUUCUUUACAGUCCACCCUGAGAUGCCUUCACUCGGAAUGUCCAGUGUAGGCCUGACAGGGUGUCCUGCCCUGUGGAACUCAGAUGUGUCAUACCCAGGUCUCCACAGGAUCUAAGGAAAGGGUUUUAGUACCCAACCUCAGAUUAGGAACUGCCAGAUGAGACAGAGUGAAAGUGUUUCCUCAGAUGUGGGACUUCCUAGAGCCUGCAGCCAUGAAGCUGCUCACUGGAGAGGGUAGACAGCCUGCGCCUCUCACUGCAGGGGCUCUAAGCCAGCUCCUCACUGUACCCCACUGGCAGGUUGUCCUUGCUGUGUGGUUUCUGCACCCUACUUGGGCACAGCCUUUUACUACACCAGGCGACGGGGAGCGGCAUGGUGCAGGGCUUCUGAGCAAGCAGUGUAGGCAGGGGGAAGCACAGAGGUCUGUAGAGUGCAGGAGGAAGUGAGUAGCCGGGAGCUUCCUUUCAGCUUCUGCAGCAGCUAGAUCUCUCAGUGGCCCCUCAUUCUCAGCUACAACAGCUCUGGGUCACCACAGACCAAUGUUUCCUGCGUGACUCAGUAGCAGCCACUGGCCCCAGCAGGGCUUGGGGCUAGGAUGGGUAGAUGGGAACGGAUCUACAGGGCAGUCCCUAGGCCCCCAACUCCUGAAUCGUCCCUAACUCCCUCACCCCAUGAGGGUGCACGAACAGCUAGUCCAGGAAAAAGUCAUUUUAUUUUCAUAAAUACUCCCAUGGUCACCCUUACUGACCCUACUUUGAUCACAGAUGGGUGGCAGAUGUGAGGUGCUCAUGGGAGGCCCCAGCAGAAGCUGAUAAAUGAAGCACAGAACUCUGGGAGUUCCAUGGCCCUCCAGGGGGCAUGUCCUCUGGCUUUGCUUUCAAGUUUCCAUGGUCCCUAGGAGCCUGAGAGCAAAGGGAGGCCUCUGGAGGCACUGGGGGCUGAGUGGAGAGCUCCUUCAGCUCUGUGACCACAGGGCCAUUCCAAAAGAAAAGCAAAGAGCCAAACCACACACCAAGUGCAAACAGCUAGGUCAUGGGCGUCACCCCCAGUCACUGGGUUCCCACAGAGGAGGCCUGGGCUGGUCCCAGUUCCAGCAUGGCCUCCAAGUUAUGGCUGGGCCUUUCCAU
rnacentral:sRNA from 1 species